GACAGAGGCCUCGAGCGUUAGGCGGAAUCACUGGGCUUAAAGCGUGUGUAGGCGGAUCGUUAAGUGCCUUGUGAAAUCCCACGGCUUAACUGUGGAACGGCUGGGCAUACUGGCGGUCUUGAGCCAUCUAGGGGCGACUGGAACAAACGGAGGAGCGGUGAAAUGCGUAGAUAUCGUUUGGAACGCCAAUGGUGAAAACAGGUCGCUGGGGAUGAGCUGACGCUGAGACACGAAAGCCAGGGGAGCAAACGGG
rnacentral:rRNA from 1 species